CAAAAGACCAAAAGAGUGAAAAAGUAUAAUUAAACAAAACGCAUUUGACUAACAGGUCGAACAACGGAUGCUCUUUAACCCUGCUGACUGCCAUUGGCGAUUGCCAAAUAAAAUUGAUCACAAGAUGUAACAAAAUGGAUCUUAAUAUAAAUUUAAUACUAAACAGAAAAAAUAAAAUAAAAAUAAAAAAUAAAAUUAACUUGUGGCCACGAUGUUAUGCCACAAACAUACGGUGUCAAUAUUUUUUAGUACACCAGAUCCGGAUUUCGACAAUAAAUGUCUCUUAGUGAUGUUAAAGAUCGAAACGGUAUUUGGAAGGCCAUAUAAAAAGUACCCUCAUUUUUAGAUAGAUAGACUCUUGAAUUUUAAGAGUCAAUAUAGGAUGAACGGAUCAUAUAAACCGGAGGGAAAAUAUGAUACAAGCCCAAACGAAAAAAAAAUAAAACGAGUCUAAAUUGAAAACUACGUUCAAACCUAUGAUUGCGUUGGAUAAAAACCGCAAUUUUUAUACGUGUGCAUGUAAAACAAAUUUCGUUGUAGAAGG
rnacentral:lncRNA from 1 species